AAACUAUUUUUGCUGAAUUCUAUUGUUAGUUUCGAGGAUUCCUUUUUUAAAUAUCCAAUUUUGGCUAAAUGCACUUUAUUUAAUUCAAUGUGUAUCCUUUUUAGAGAAGUUUAUAUUUUGUUGUUCUGUAAACAAUAAUCUAAAACUUUUACUGGCUCAGAUCACUUUUAUGGCACUAGUUUUUUACAACUUCCUAGGCGAAGACUCACGGUACUUUUACACCUGGCGGAUCCGGCGGCAGCUUCUCGUUAAAACUUAAUGGGCUCGCCGUGAAUGAACGGCCCUUUAUAUAGGCGCCUGGAUGAACACCCACGCACACCAGUGCGCGCGGCAUUAUCAAGAGAUCGCCGAAGAGAGAGAAAAAGAGAGCGAGCGUUAUCACAUCUCA
rnacentral:sRNA from 1 species